rnacentral:rRNA from 1 species
GACGAACGCUGGCGGCGUGCUUAACACAUGCAAGUCGAACGGAGCGCCAUGGAAUGAGGUUUCGGCCAAAGGAAAUGGUUGCUUAGUGGCGGACUGGUGAGUAACGCGUGAGGAACCUGCCUUUCAGAGGGGGACAACAGUUGGAAACGACUGCUAAUACCGAAUACGCUUGGGAGACCGCAUGAUCUACCAAGGAAAGGGUGGCCUCUACCUGUAAGCUAUCGCCUGAAGAGGGGUUUGCGUCUGAUUAGGCAGUUGGUGAGGUAACGGCCCACCAAACCUACGAUCAGUAGCCGGUCUGAGAGGAUGAACGGCCACACUGGAACUGAGACACGGUCCAGACUCCUACGGGAGGCAGCAGUGGGGAAUCUUCCGCAAUGGGCGAAAAGCCUGACGGAGCAAACGCCGCGUGAGUGAUGACGGCCU